UUUGCAGAAGGUGCUUCGGGUGCGGCCGGGUCCAAGUCCCUUGGAANAGGGGGUCUUAGAGGGUGAGAAUCCCGUACGCGACCUAUGGGAAAGCCCGGGUGAAGCCCUUUCGAAGAGUCGAGUUGUUUGGGAAUGCAGCUCAAAAUGGGUGGUAAAUUUCAUCUAAAGCUAAAUAUCUGCCGGAGACCGAUAGCGCACAAGUAGAGUGAUCGAAAGAUGAAAAGCACUUUGAAAAGAGAGUCAAACAGUACGUGAAAUUGUUGAAAGGGAAGCGGUUCGACCAGACUCGUACGCGGGUGUUCAGCCGUUUUACGGGACGGUGCACUCUCCCGCGCUCGGGCCAGCAUCGGUUUUGGCGGCCGGACAAAGGCCUCGGGAAUGUGGCUCUCUUUGGGAAUGUUAUUAGCCCGGGGUGUAAUGCGGCCAGCUGGGACCGAGGAACGCGCACUGCUAGGAAGC
rnacentral:rRNA from 1 species